UGACAUGUCAGAGAUCCCGCAGAGAUGUGGGAGUGCUCGAAAGAGAAUCUGAACACAGGUGCUGCAUGGCCGUCGUCAGCUCGUGUCGUGAGAUGUUGGGUUAAGUCCCGCAACGAGCGCAACCCUUAUCAUUAGUUGCUACGCAAGGGCACUCUAAUGAGACUGCCGGUGACAAACCGGAGGAAGGUGGGGAUGACGUCAGGUCAUCAUGGCCCUUAUGGGUAGGGCUACACACGUCAUACAAUGGCCGGUACAGAGGGCUGCCAACCCGCGAGGGGGAGCUAAUCUCAGAAAACCGGUCGUAGUCCGGAUCGCAGUCUGCAACUCGACUGCGUGAAGUCGGAAUCGCUAGUAAUCGCGGAUUAGCUUGCCGCGGUGAAUACGUUCCCGGGUCUUGUACACACCGCCCGUCACACCAUGGGAGCGGGUUCUGCCAGAAGUAGUUAGCCUAACCGCAAGGAGGGCGAUUACCACGGCAGGGUUCGUGACUGGGGUGAAGUCGUA
rnacentral:rRNA from 1 species